AGUUUUAUGGCUCAGUUGGUUAGAGUGUCCGCUUCACAAAUCACCACCGGAUUUUAACCCGGUUUGAGGAGAGACGCGGAAGGUCCAGGGUUCGACCCCCUGUAAAACUA
rfam:Cryptococcus amylolentus CBS 6039 supercont1.2, whole genome shotgun sequence.